rnacentral:rRNA from 1 species
UACAGAGGUGGCAAGCGUUGUUCGGAAUUACUGGGCGUAAAGGGCGCGUAGGCGGCUCGACAAGUCCCGCGUGAAAGCCCCGGCUCAACUGGGGAACUGCGCGGGAAACUGUCGGACUUGAGUUCGGGAGAGGGAAGCGGAAUUCCGGGUGUAGCGGUGAAAUGCGUAGAUAUCCGGAGGAACACCGGGUGGCGAAGGCGGGUCACUGGACAG